GACACGGCUGGCGGCGUGGAUUAGGCAUGCAAGGUCGAACGGUAGGAUCCUUUCGGGGAUCUGAGAGUGGCGAACGGGUGAGUAACACGUAGGUGAUCUACCCUCAAGACGGGGACAACCCAGGGAAACUUGGGCUAAUACCGGAUGAUAGCAGCAGCGAUGCUGUUUAAAAGAUGGCUUUCGGGCUGUCGUUUGGGGAUGAGCCUGCGCUCUAUUAGUUAGUUGGUGGAGUAACGGCCUACCAAGGCGAUGAUAGAUAGGCGGCCUUAACGGGUGGUCGCCCACACUGGGAUUGAGAUACGGCCCAGACUCCUACGGGAGGCAGCAGUCGAGAAUAGUCUACAAUGGACGAAAGACUGAUAGUGCGACGCCGCGUGAACGAAGAAGCCCUUCGGGGUGUAAAGUUCUUUUAUAUGUGAGCAGUGGUUCUUAUGUGAACAGCAUGGGGACAGAGAUAUUAGCAUAUGAAUAAGCAACGGCUAACUCCGUG
rnacentral:rRNA from 1 species